rnacentral:rRNA from 1 species
AAUCAACGCUGGCGGCGUGCCUAACACAUGCAAGUCGAACGCGAAAGCCCCGCAAGGGGUAAGUAGAGUGGCGAACGGGUGAGUAACACGUGGGUGACCUACCUUCGAGUGGGGGAUAACGUCCCGAAAGGGACGCUAAUACCGCAUAACAUCCUGCUUUUGAAUAGGCGGAGAUCAAAGCUGGGGAUCGCAAGACCUGGCGUUUGGAGAGGGGCCCGCGUCUGAUUAGCUAGUUGGUGAGGUAACGGCCCACCAAGGCGACGAUCAGUA